ACGUCGGCACCAGCUGCGGGGCAAGAUGGAGGCGCUGAUUUUGGAACCUUCCCUGUAUACUGUCAAAGCCAUCCUGAUUCUGGACAAUGAUGGAGAUCGACUUUUUGCCAAGUACUAUGACGACACCUACCCCAGUGUCAAGGAGCAAAAGGCCUUUGAGAAGAACAUUUUCAACAAGACCCAUCGGACUGACAGUGAAAUUGCCCUCUUGGAAGGCCUGACAGUGGUAUACAAAAGCAGUAUAGAUCUCUAUUUCUAUGUGAUUGGCAGCUCCUAUGAAAAUGAGCUGAUGCUUAUGGCUGUUCUGAACUGUCUCUUCGACUCAUUGAGCCAGAUGCUGAGGAAAAAUGUAGAAAAGCGAGCACUGCUGGAGAACAUGGAGGGGCUGUUCUUGGCUGUGGAUGAAAUUGUAGAUGGAGGGGUGAUCCUAGAGAGUGAUCCCCAGCAGGUGGUACACCGGGUGGCAUUAAGGGUAAGCAAGAAUGUGUUUCUCUGCAUCCCCGCAUCUAUUCACAAACACCCUCCAGAGCCAGACCUGCUGGAUGUGUCCAGU
rnacentral:sRNA from 1 species